rnacentral:misc_RNA from 1 species
AAUUCUCAACUUCAAAAGGCUUUUGUCUUUUUUGAAGCUUGGACUAUGGAAGUUUGCUGGUAUCACUAUCAGCUCUUCUUAAAUGCAUUAGCGGAACUUUAAGGACCAGCUUUGGUUUGAUAAUCCUAUCUAUGCCGCUGCUGUGGACUUGUUGUUCAGCUUCAAAUGGUCUUCGGACUGUCUCCUUGUGAGGCAUACACUUUUAA